CCUACGGGUGGCAGCAGUGGGGAAUAUUGGUCAAUGGAGGCAACUCUGACCCAGCAACGCCGCGUGAAUGAUGAAGGUCUUCGGAUUGUAAAGUUCUGUUAUGGGGGAUGCACACAAUGACGGUACCCCAAUAGCAAGCCACGGCUAACUACGUGCCAGCAGCCGCGGUAAUACGUAGGUGGCAAGCGUUAUCCGGAAUGACUGGGCGUAAAGGGUGCGUAGGUGGUUUAGUAAGUUGGCGGUGUAAUUCCGGGGCUCAACCUCGGCGCUACCGCCGAAACUAUUAGACUAGAGUGCAGGAGGGGUAAGUGGAAUGCGUAGUGUAGCGGUGGAAUGCAUAGAUAUCACGCAGAACUCCGAUUGCGAAGGCAGCAUACCGGCGCCCGACUGACGCUGAGGCACGAAAGCGUGGGGAUCGAACAGGAUUAGAUACCCCAGUAGUC
rnacentral:rRNA from 1 species